GAUGAGAUCUGCGAGCAGACGGCACAUCAGAUCAGAUCAGUUUAUCUGUGCAGGAUGAGAGGUUUUCUGUGGUUGGUUGGUGCAGUUUUACUGCUGGGGUCAAUAGAUGGAGGCGACGCAUAUGAACAACUUGAUGAUAAUACAAGGAACAUCGUUGACCAGGCAAUAAUCAAAGCCAACGAGAAAUAUGGACAAAAAACACACAUUGAUUUUCAUUCAAUCAACUGUUCUGGUAAUUCAGGGUUGUUUCAUGUCCUAUUAAAACCCACCUCAUGUAACGUUACCAAGGGAGCGGGAGUUCAUCAAAAGGAAUGUUCAUUUCCAAAGAAAACUAAAUUUAUGAUAUCCUGUGCGGUGUGUGAUAAUAAUGAGAUGACCUGUGGAUUUAAAGAAAGACACAAAGAGAAGAUAAAGGAACUUAUAAAAAAAUGUGGCUCAGAAUGUCGUUCUAAGUAUUUUACUGGAGGUGGAGAUAUGUUGUCUUUAAAGGUGGAAGGAAAAGAAUUUGGAUGUCUUGGAUGCAUCUGAGAAGCAGAAAUCUGUGCAACAAUUUACCCAACAGUUGAUAUUUAGAAAUCCAUCUCCAAUGUGAAAUGUAUAAUGUACUGAUUAAAUUACAGUAAAAUCCUAAACAUUAGCAAAUAUAUAUAUAUAUAUAGUGUAUAUAAGGUAACAUUUUAUAAUAAGGUUCAUUAGUUAACAUUAGUUAACUACAUAAGUUAACAUGAUCUUUGUUAAUGUUAAUUUCAACAAUUACUAAUACUUUAUUAAAAUCUUGUUAACUUUAGUUAAUGCACUGUGAACUAACAUGAACAAACAAUUAAAAGCUUUAUUUCUAUUAACUAACAUUAACAAAGAUGAAUAAAUACUGUAACACAUGUGUUGCUCAUGGUUUGUUUAUGUUAGUUAAUACAUUUUAACUAAUGUUAACGAAUGAAUCUUAUUGUAAAGUGUUACUGUAUAUACUACACAUCACAUAAUGCAUUCUGAUCUGAAUAUUGUUUUGACUCAAACUGCAUUUACUUUAAAAUCCUCAUAUACAGCUGUUAUUUUACGGUUUUGAAUAGUCUACUGGGUAAAAAUGAAAUGUCUUUAUGUAAUGCCAUUGUGCAAUAUUAAUGUUUAACCUGUUUAAAUGUUUGAUGUUUCUUACUCCAAAAUUGUAAAACUGUUUUUGGGUUAGUUCAAAUAAAAAGCAAGUAAAUUUGUUGGGUUGUCAAAACUUCAUUUUUUGUUCUCUAAAUUAAGACGAAAUCUCAUGAUAAGCCAUAAUACACUCAUGAACACAAUAGGUAUUUUCAACCCAACGUUGAGUAAAAAGGGACUGUCAUUGUCUAACUGUGUUCUGUAUAUGUCUGUGUUCCUUUGCUGAUUGUUAUCACCUGACCUCAUUACCACAUCAUUAUGAGGAGAGGAGGUCUCUCUUACUGGAGAUCCUUCUCAACUCCCACUUCAUUCCUGGUCUCAAUGUCCCUCCAUCUCUACCGGAACGGGCGGGGCUGAUCCGCCGCCCAUUUAGUGAGCUGGUGGAUCAUCUUUGUCAAGAGAAGCUCUGGGGCUUCACCAUUUGCCCCUCUGCCAGGGAUACCAGAGGGUUGCAUCCUGGCUGCUGCCAUGCCUGAUCCAGUUCACGAGAUGGCCAAAUCUUCUGAGACUGUCCACGAGAUGGCCGAAUCGUCUGAGUCUGUCCACAAGAUGGCUGAAUCGUUCAAGUCUGUUCACGAGAUGGCCAAAUCGUCUGAAUUUGUUCACUAUAUGACUGAAUCGUCUGAGUCUGUUCAUGAGAUGGCUGAUCUGGAACUCAAAUGCUCUGCUUCACCCAAGAUAGCUUAUCUCGAACUCUCCAAACUUUCUGCCUCACCUAAGAUGGCCGAUCUCAAACUCCUAAACUUUCUUCCUCACCUAAGAUGGAUCUCGAACUCUUUGAACCCCCUGGCUGGUCGAAGAUGGCUGAUUCUGGACUCGCUCCCUUUCUCGAGUUGGACAAUACUGAACUAUCUAACCUGGCCGUGAGGCCUUCUGUAUGUCUUGCCUCUCUAUUUCUCUCUCUAUCCAGGUUCCUGUUGCCUCCAGCACCCCCGUGGAUUCCGGCCUCCUAUCCUGCUCCUGCCCUGCCAGAACCAUCCUGCAUAGAUGAAAUGUAGGAUAGUUCAUACGUCGCACUUUUAUAAAUGAGGCCCCCGGUGUUAGCCUCUCCUCCAUCGCUGUCAGCAGCUGUGGCUGCGGCCCAAGAGGUCAUAAAAGAAAAGCAAGAGGAGAAAUCUGCUCAAGACGGCACGGGUCAGGAGAUGUUUAGUGAACAGGAACACAUGAGCAUCUCGGGCAGCAGUGCCAGACAUAAUAUGGUCAUGCAGAAACUAGAAACAAAAGUGCAAUGCACAAUUGCAAGUCUUUCUGUGUGUGUGUAUAGAAAACUUGAAUAAAGUUGCUUUGACAGUGGUGUAGUGGAAUAUGGUCAUCAUAAAACAGUCCUCUUGUUCGCUCUUUCCACAGUCUAUGGUGAAGGUGCUCAGUAACAUGGUUGGUCCUGAGGACAUCAAUGAUGAUCUGGAGGGAGAAGCAGGGUUAGGAGGAGGAUGCUGAAAUAAUUGUUAAGAUCCUUGUUGAGUUUUCAGCGGCGUCAGAGAUGAACAAGGCCAUUCAGGCCCUUAACAACCACUGGUUCAGGGGUUGGAAGGUCAUCGCUGAAGUUUAUGAUCAGGAGUGAUUUGAAAACAGUGACCUCUCUGCAUAGACUGUCAAUCAUAACCUCUUUCUUCAUCAUUUCCUCUCUCACACAGACACAGUUGCCGACCGCUAUUCCCAGUGGCAUUGGCUUCUCUUUAUAACUUGUAAUUAUUUUUUAUCAAUGUUGAUAUUAAUGUUAUUAAUUUUAUCCCUUUAUGGGACAGAGGCAAGGAAACGCUUAUAAGUAUUUUUAUUGUUGCUGUUCCCUAAUUUGAAUUACUGGAUUUCACCUUUUUUUUUGUUAUAAUUAAACUCCUUUGGAACCCCACCAACCCAUCAGAUAAAGUUAAAAUUCAGUUGCUUUGUCUUUUAUUCCUAAAGUAUUCUCAUUAGCCUGUUAUGAUGCUUUUGGUUUCAAAUGCCAGAACAAUAAAUUCAACGAUGACUUUUAAGUCCUGUGCUAUGUUUACUGUUUAUGAAUGCCCAUACAGGUAAUAUGGGAAAUACAGCUAGUCAUUUGAAUUAGUUUUGUUUAUUUGGAGUAAACCAAUAUUUUAAUGAAUCAAAGAUUGAUUAAAAGAUCUCAGUGUAAGUGUAAUGUGUGGCUGUUUGAUGGUAUUACAUUAAUGCAGGCACUAGCAUAAGGGUAACUUGUGUGCAUGUCAGUGUUUGAUUUGAAGUUGAACAUUGAAUUUUGUACCAGGGGUUAUGUUUGAAAACUUCAGUUGUUGUGCAGAAAAACAAGUAGUGAAGAUUAUGCUUGUUCUUGUUGAUUACUUAUAAUAGUCUGACUUUUUGUAAUUAGAAAUGUGAUUUACCUUUAAUUUGUAAUAGUUUAAGGUAAUUUUUUUAAAUAUUAGAAAAAAAUUCUAGUUUUUUAAAAUGCUUAUAUAAAUAUUUGUGAGACCAAUGAGCUAAUGAUUUACCAGUUCUCUGUGAUAUUCGGCAAGCAGACGGCACAUCAGAUCAGAUCAGUUUAUCUGUGCAGGAUGAGAGGUUUUCUGUGGUUGGUUGGUGCAGUUUUACUGCUGGGGUCAAUAGAUGGAGGCGACACAUACGAAAAACUUGAUACUAAUACAAGGAACAUCGUUGACCAGGCAAUAAUCAAAGCCAAUGAGAAAUAUGGACAAAAAACACACAUUGAUUUCCAUUCAAUCAACUGUUCUGGUAAUUCAAGGUUGUUUCAUAUCCUGUUAAAACCCACCUCAUGUAACGUUAACAAGGGUGCAGGAGUUCAUCAAAAUGAAUGUCCCUUUCCAAAGAAAACUAAAUUUAUGAUUUCCUGUGUGGUAUGUGAUAAUAAUGUGACCUGUGGAUACAAAGAAAAAGACAAAGAGAAGAUAAAGGAACUUAUAAAAAAAUGUGGCUCAGAAUGUUAUCCUCCCUAUAUGGAUGGACUAGGACAUUUGAGUUUUUUAAAGAAGGAGAGUAAAGAAUUUGGAUGUCUUGGAUGCAUCUGAAAAGCAGAAAUCUUUCCAACCAUUUACCCAACAGUUAAUAUUUAGAAAUCCAUCUUCACUGUGAAAUUACAAGUUAUAAU